rnacentral:miRNA from 1 species
AGGUCGGGAUGACUGGCAGUAUU